GAUGAACGCUAGCGGCAGGCCUAACACAUGCAAGUCGAGGGGUAGCAGGAUUAAGCUUGCUUAAUUGCUGACGACCGGCGCACGGGUGCGUAACGCGUAUGCAACCUACCUUAUACUGGGGUAUAGCCCGGAGAAAUUCGGAUUAAUCCCCCAUAGUACUAAUGAAUCGCAUGGUUUAUUAGUUAAAGCAUUGCGGUAUAAGAUGGGCAUGCGUCCUAUUAGCUAGAUGGUGAGGUAACGGCUCACCAUGGCUACGAUAGGUAGGGGGCCUGGGAGGGGGGUCCCCCACACUGGUACGGAGACACGGACCAGACUCCUACGGGGGGCAGCAGUGAGGAAUAUUGGUCAAUGGGCGCAAGCCUGAACCAGCCAUGCCGCGUGCAGGAAGAAUGCCCUAUGGGUUGUAAACUGCUUUUAUUUGGGAAUAAACCUCUUUACGUGUAGAGAGCUGAAGGUACCAAAUGAAUAAGCACCGGCUAACUCCGUGCCAGCCGCCGCAGUAA
rnacentral:rRNA from 1 species